AUUGAACGCUGGCGGAAUGCUUUACACAUGCAAGUCGAACGGCAGCACGGGGCAACCUGGUGGCGAGUGGCGAACGGGUGAGUAAUACAUCGGAACGUGCCCAAUCGUGGGGGAUAACGUAGCGAAAGCUACGCUAAUACCGCAUACGAUCUACGGAUGAAAGCGGGGGACUCGCAAGAGCCUCGCGCGAAUGGAGCGGCCGAUGGCAGAUUAGGUAGUUGGUGGGGUAAAGGCUCACCAAGCCUGCGAUCUGUAGCUGGUCUGAGAGGACGACCAGCCACACUGGAACUGAGACACGGUCCAGACUCCUACGGGAGGCAGCAGUGGGGAAUUUUGGACAAUGGGCGAAAGCCUGAUCCAGCCAUUCCGCGUGCAGGAUGAAGGCCCUCGGGUUGUAAACUGCUUUUGUACGGAACGAAAAGGUUUCCUCUAAUACAGGGAGCUCAUGACGGUACCGUAAGAAUAAGCACCGGCUAACUACGUG
rnacentral:rRNA from 1 species